CUGAAGGGGCAGUAAACGCCACCUGGAGUUACACAGCCUCCUCUCGCGAGAGCCGCGCCUCCCUGGUAACGGCGGGUGGCUGCGGACAUGGAGGAGGAGGAGGCGGACGCGGCGGGCUCUGAGGCGUCCUUCUGCCUGCAGAAAAUUACUAUCACAGACUACUCUAAGGAUGAUUAUCAGUACGAAGAGGUGUCAGCAGACGAUGAGUUUAGUCUUCAGGAAGGUGAUGAGGAUCUGUCUGAGCUGCUGCAGGCUGUUCAAGAGCAGGCUGAAGAUGCCCACAUUUUAGCUUCCAAAUCAGUUCUGACUUCUGAGAAAUCAGUGUCUGAAACACCUGAAGCGAUGGAUGACUUCUUCUGCAAUUUUCUCGUCAGUCUGGGUAUGUCCAGAACACUUGACUGCUUCCAGACUGAAUGGUAUGAACUCGUAGAGAGAGGUGCGUUCACAGCCAAAGACAUCGGGUUCGUGCCGACUGUGUAUACCUGCAACCAGGAGCUUAAGGCUGACAAUAUGCGUUUGAGGAAAGAUUUGGACAACUAUAAAUGUGCUGCUAACAAAGCAAAGGAGGCUUUCCUGAAAAUGCAGAAAGAACGUGACUUCCAUAGAAUGCACCAUAAGCAAGUGGUCCAGGAGAAAAACAGGCUUAUAUGUGACAUGAAAAGGCUGAAGGCGCAUUACGCUUCGUAUGAACCAGUGCUGAAGCAGAUGACUGAGAAAUACCAGUCAGUACUGAGACAGAAAAUGUUAACUAGUUUGGAAAGAGACAGAGCAGUUGGGCAGGUUACAGGUUUACAAGCUACAUUACAUAAUUUAGAGUCCGGAUGUGCAGUUCAGAUUCCUGUGAAAAAAGCUGGCCGUGAAUGGGAAAGGAAGAAGGGUUUGGAAGAUCCCGCCCAGAAAGCUCUUCAGGAAGCAAGGCAGCAAAAAAUGCUUGAUGUUGGUCCGGUUAAUGACUCAGAGAAGAAGAGAUAUCCUAAGGAUUCGGAGUUCCCUGUAGAUACGCAAGUGAACCCAUCCCUUGCUGGUGCCAAGAAGUACAGUCGAUCCCUGAAAUACGGAGAGUAUAAACUGAGCAACACUUUAAAACUGCAUGACUCAGCAGUGAGCUGCUUGGCCUCACAUCCCCAGAAAGACAUGGUAGUCACUGGCAGUGAUGACCGCCUCUGGAAAAUGUGGGCUUUACCUGAUGGGGACAUCAUCAUGGUGGGUGAAGGUCACUCUGAUUGGGUUUCGGGCUGCUGCUUCCAUCCAAGUGGCACUCACUUGAUCACUUCAAGUGGGGAUACAACAGUACGGAUAUGGGACCUCUCAAAAGGUGGAUGUGUUCUGACUUUGGAAGGACAUGGCCAAGCUGUAUGGGACUGCUCAUGGCAUUCAUGUGGUGAUUUUGUGGCUUCUGCCUCUAAGGACAGCACAAGUAAAAUAUGGGAUGUCAACAGUGAGAGAUGCAGAUAUACCAUGCGUGGCCAUAAAGAUUCAGUCAGUAGCAUUGAAUUUCUUCCAUUCUCCAACACUGUUCUCACCAGCUCUGCUGACAAGACUUUAUCUCUCUGGGACGCCAGAACAGGUCUCCGUGUUUAUACGUUCUAUGGUCACCUGCAUUCCUGUAAUCAUGCUACAUUCAGCCUGGAGAAGAGCUCCUCUCGCCAACUGAUGUUAAGAAAAAGAAUGCCCCAGGAAGGGAGUACCAGACUCCAGGUGCAUCUUAGAAAUGCGUAUUUCCCCACUCUGUCUCAGUCUGAGGCAGCCAAGGCUGUUCGUCAUGCGUCUUCUGGGGCUCGAUGCCAGGCAGUUUCCAGCUGCAGCUCCUCGAACCUCUCUUCAUGCACACAGAACAGACCCCAACAGCGCUGCAUCGCCAGGCGAGGGGAGGGGAACAUGAUUGCUUCCUGUGAUACCGACGGCGCGCUGAAGUUGUGGGAUGUUCGGCAGGCAGCCCCCAUCAUGUCUGUGGAUACAGGCCCCCGUUCCGCCAACCAGCUUGCCUUCGAUCACUCUGGAACUCUCAGGGCACCAAUACUGACCCAGAGAAGCUAGACAAGUAUCCAGCAGUGGUUUCUACCAGCUUACUGACUCAGACCACCUGAAGACUCUUGAAACACCAAGAAACCAGCGAAUGUAUUAUGAAGAUAACAUUACAUGCAGUACAGUCAUGGAUGUGCUGCUUCUGAUAUAGAAGUUCAAGAGUAGAGGAAAAACUUCUUCAGAAUAAGAGCACAAGAUAAGGACCAGCGUUACUGAAGUCACCUUCUCUGAAGUUGCUCCACAAACAAGAAUUAAGGUCACGGCAGUGCCAGCUCCGUGCUGUGCCAGCAUUGAUGGACACGGUCCCCUUCCAUGGGCACGCAGAAACCAAACUCUGCAUUCUGAAAUCUGAUGUUUCCCAAUAGCUCAGUGGGACUGAGGUCCCACACUUGAAAGCAGCCUAAGGAUUGUUGCUAGAAUGCCAUCUUGCCUUGCUCCUUAUCUUGCUUUUUUUCCUCAAGGUACAUUGACUUGGAGACAUGUGCCCACAUACAGAUAGUAUAGGUUAACACUGAAAUCUAUUUCUAUGCACAACAUUAUUCUCCUUUGGGAGAAAUUUUCAACAAAAAAAAAAAAAAUCCAGCUCCAGACAGAAGAUGGAGAUUCUCUUACCCUUUUAUUCUUAAUAUAUUAAUUUUGGAUAUCUUCUGAAUGUAUCCAAGAGUUCCUGAAUUCUUCCAAACAGGUUUUGACAUCUUGAAGAUGCUGCUCCUAAAGUUUCUGCUUUAAGACUAUUUUGUUUUAAAACUGUUUUCAAAAUUCCAACUGCCACCAGAAGGCCAAAUAAAAUCAAAUAGAAACAAGCUCAAGUCCAGCUGAAAGGGAGCUUUACAGUAAUGGUCCGGGUGUAGAAAUCCUUACAAAAAGCUUAAAGUUCUUUUAUAUGAAGGAUUUUCUUCUAUCAGAUAAAUGCUUUCUUUGCUAUAAGUGACUUUCUGGUGAUUUUUUGAUUGAAAAAGGAUUUGUUGAGUUCUGAGAUCUGUUUAAGCUCUGGAAAUAAUGCCCCUUCAUCUCGACCACAUUUUUUCUUCCAGUAAGGAGUUAAGAGAAGUCCCCUAUGCCUGCUGGCCAACCAUUUUUCCACACCCCUGCUCUUUCAAGGGAGAUGCAUGCAGCCAUAUCCUGCUGCACAUUUACAUCUCAUCCAAGACCAAUAUCUACACACAUACUUCUGUCGGCACACUGCACGGGUACAGUUUUUCUGUCUUCCAAGGAAAUCACCUUUACACUGAGAAAUUUGAUUAAGGAACUUCUCAGCACUUUAUUUUCUUUUAUUGCCUUCUGUAAAUACUUGGGUCUAAGAAACUUGCGUUAUAUGCUCCCACCCAGUCUAUAAAGCUGCCUUUUUAUCAGGUCUAAUUAUCGCCAAAUAAUCAUGAAAUUGUUCAUUACAAGACCAGCUACUAUAACACUCCUGCCUUGAUGAAUCUGUUUUCAAUUCACUGAUCCUACUAUCAUUUAAGCAGGUGAUUACUGAAUUUGAAUGACUUCACCUGCAUAAGGUGAGUCAUGAGUUUAAGUACAUUGAGAUUGUUUUCUCUAAUGUGCUUUGCCAAAUCUCUGCCUAUUUAAGUACUUCAGAGAAGGGAAAAAAGCCAUUACACUAAAGAAUGGUAAAAGGUUUUUGUUUUGAUACCAAUAUAUGGAGAAUGUAUGUCAGCAGAUUGUUGGAGCUCUUCUCUCUUUCCCAGCUUGCCUUUUGGUCACCAUUAUUAGGAAUAUUAAAAUGAAUUACAGCCUGCUCAAGAUUGUUCUUCUAUCCUCUCCCAGGAAAGGCCCCAGUAAACACACUAGGGAAGCAAAGGGAGGAGGAGGUUGCCAUCAUUUCCAAGAGGGGAAUACUUAGGAGGAUUUAUUCCCAGUUGAGGGUGGAAGACUUAGAAGAAUGUUAAAAAGUGCAUUCCUAAGCAAAACAUAGUGUAUAUUUGGAAGAUGAGAAAUAAUUGCUGUAUUUGUUGAAAGCUGUUUAUAGAACAAAAAAAAAAGUGAAACAUCUAUCGUAUGGUGAAGUCAGUUGCUUGGUAAAUAACAUUCCGCAUGGUGUGACAGUAAUGA